GGGGUUGUGGCUCAGUGGUAGAGUGCUUGCCUAGCAUGUGUGAGGCACUGGGUUCAAAUCUCAGCACCCCA
rnacentral:tRNA from 1 species